rnacentral:rRNA from 1 species
UACAGAGGGGGCGAGCGUUGUUCGGAAUUACUGGGCGUAAAGGGCGCGUAGGCGGCCUGCUAAGUCAUACGUGAAAUCCCUCGGCUCAACCGGGGAACUGCGUGUGAUACUGGCGGGCUUGAAUCCGGGAGAGGAAUGCGGAAUUCCAGGUGUAGCGGUGAAAUGCGUAGAUAUCUGGAGGAACACCGGUGGCGAAGGCAGCUCGCUGGGACGGUACUGACGCUGAGGCGCGAAAGCGUGGGGAGCGAACAGG